rnacentral:lncRNA from 10 species
CAAAGUCUUUAUGACUGGAUUGAAGUGAUAAAAGGGAAGUUAUAAAGCUAUAAGGAAAUGAGGUUUGGGAGCUACCCUGGGGUUAGACAAUGUGGUGUCUCAUUUUGGAUUCUUUUCUGAGUGAAGUGAGAAAUUACUGGAGGGAUUUUAGAAGAGGAGUGACACGGUUUAACUUCUCUAUAUCUAACAGACUGUGGAGCAGUUAUUCAAAACUCGGAGGGAGUCGGCAUGGGAGGAUCCAUAUAAUUUCACGCUAAAUUGUGCACGUCUGUUUGUGAAAUGUGAAGGUGCACAUUUGUUUUCCUGGAAGGCAAAUUUCAUUUCUUAUACCACCUUGUCAGAAAGAUCUGUGAUCCCAAGGAACUGCUGUUGUAAAGAAACAAGGACAAGCAAUUUGAGGCAAGAAAUGAUGGUUCCAACGAGGGAGGGAGUAACCAUGGAUAUGCUGAAAUGCAGUUGGUUCCAGGAUUUAUUAGGACAUGAUUAGUUUGUAAUCAUCCCUAAGAGACAGUCUCACUUGGCCAUCCUGGCUGGAGUGCAGUGGUGCCAUCCUAGCUCACAGCAGCCUCAGAUUCCUGGGCUUAAAGAAUCCUAUCUUUCAGCCUUUCAAGUACUUGGGACUACAGGCAUGCACCAUCACACCUGGCUAUUUUUUUUUUCUUUUUCUUUUUUUGAGACCGGGUCUUUCUCUGUUGCUCAGGCUGGUCUCAAAUUCCUGGCCUCAACUGCUCCUCUGGCCUCAGCCUCCCAAAGUACUGGGAUUACAAGUGUGAGCCACUGUUCCUGACU